rnacentral:rRNA from 1 species
GUUCGUAGGUGACCUGCGGAGGACAUUAUCGAGUUAGACCGGGAAGGGGUUUCCUCGGACUCUCCUUCCUAGUUUUCCUUAUUUCACCUGUGCACCCUCUGUAGGCCCUCGAGAGAGGAUCUAUGUUUUCUAUAAUCUACUCUAUCGCAUGUCCAGAACGUAUACAUACAAACUUUUACAACUUUCAGCAACGGAUCUCUUGGCUCUCGCAUCGAUGAAGAACGCAGCGAAUUGCGAUAAGUAAUGUGAAUUGCAGAUUUUCAGUGAAUCAUCGAAUCUUUGAACGCACCUUGCGCUCCUUGGUAUUCCGAGGAGCAUGCCUGUUUGAGUGUCAUGGAAUUCUCAACCGUGUCCUCGAUCUGAUCUCGAGGCAUGGCUUGGACUUGGGAGUUGCUGGCGGCCUCGUCAGCUCUCCUCAAACACAUUAGCGAUGUUCAGCAAGCCUGACGUGCACGGCCUUUUUUCGACGUGAUAACGAUCGUCGUGGGCUGGAGCGGAGGGGGUGCGGGUGAAUCCCUUCCAAUUCCUUAAACCUUUGGUCCUUUUCCCUUUGGAAGGGAAUAAUCACGGGCUUUUCCAUUUCCAUCUUGGGUGGGGGGGAAAACCUUU